CUCGCCCCGCGGGGCCGGCCUGAGACACGGGAAUUCCGCUUGGCCUGCGCGGGCCGCUCCCGGCUCUCGCUCCGGGCCCCCAGAACGGAUAGCGCAGGCCUGGAGUCGGCCAGAUAUGUCCCGCGAGCCUGGCUAUCCUCGCCGCGAUAGCUCCUUGUUUCUCGUUUAGGUUAAUUGUAAACGAUGUUUGUCACGUCUCCCCAGGCCAGGCACGGGACGCGCUGAUGAUCUGGCCAGGGACACGGAAUUUCGUAUGCUUACCCAGUCUUUCCACUGGUAUCAAAAUAUACUUGGCCAUAAUUAAGGUAUUCAAUUACUUCACCCAAAGUGUAGCUUGGUCAAACAAUAAGCAAAGAAAAAAAGAAGUGCCCCUGGAAACAGUUGAUCAACGUGACAGAAAAGGACUCUGAAGUAGUGCAAGUUUUCUGCACUAAUGAUAUCCGUGAAAACACUACUGAACAGCUUUCCAGGCACAGACUCCAAGCAAACAGUCCUUAACAGCUCCCUCCUACCUUAGCUGAGAGUACCACAGUGCAGACAUCUCCCCAUUAGUGCUGAUGGCUCACUCCUGGUGUUUCCAUGGUUCAGGUGCAGGAGCUCUUCCUGAUGUGCUGCCAACACUGACUCAAGUUGUUUUCUGAAGGCAUUAUCCAUUUUAUGAAGCUUUUC